GUCGAGCGGGGAAGGGUAGCUUGCUACCUGACCUAGCGGCGGACGGGUGAGUAAUGCUUAGGAAUCUGCCUAUUAGUGGGGGACAACAUUCCGAAAGGAAUGCUAAUACCGCAUACGCCCUACGGGGGAAAGCAGGGGAUCUUCGGACCUUGCGCUAAUAGAUGAGCCUAAGUCAGAUUAGCUAGUUGGUGGGGUAAAGGCCUACCAAGGCGACGAUCUGUAGCGGGUCUGAGAGGAUGAUCCGCCACACUGGGACUGAGACACGGCCCAGACUCCUACGGGAGGCAGCAGUGGGGAAUAUUGGACAAUGGGCGAAAGCCUGAUCCAGCCAUGCCGCGUGUGUGAAGAAGGCCUUUUGGUUGUAAAGCACUUUAAGCGAGGAGGAGGCUACUUGGAUUAAUACUCUAGGAUAGUGGACGUUACUCGCAGAAUAAGCACCGGCUAACUCUGUGCCAGCAGCCGCGGUAAUACAGAGGGUGCGAGCGUUAAUCGGAUUUACUGGGCGUAAAGCGUGCGUAGGCGGCUUUUUAAGUCGGAUGUGAAAUCCCUGAGCUUAACUUAGGAAUUGCAUUCGAUACUGGGAAGCUAGAGUAUGGGAGAGGAUGGUAGAAUUCCAGGUGUAGCGGUGAAAUGCGUAGAGAUCUGGAGGAAUACCGAUGGCGAAGGCAGCCAUCUGGCCUAAUACUGACGCUGAGGUACGAAAGCAUGGGGAGCAAACAGGAUUAGAUACCCUGGUAGUCCAUGCCGUAAACGAUGUCUACUAGCCGUUGGGGCCUUUGAGGCUUUAGUGGCGCAGCUAACGCGAUAAGUAGACCGCCUGGGGAGUACGGUCGCAAGACUAAAACUCAAAUGAAUUGACGGGGGCCCGCACAAGCGGUGGAGCAUGUGGUUUAAUUCGAUGCA
rnacentral:rRNA from 1 species